GCCCGGUUGGCACAAUUGGUUAGCGCGUGAGACUUUUAAUCUCAAGGCUGUGGGUUCGGUACGUUUGCGCA